UACCAGCACCCCGAGUGGUCGGGACGUUUAUUGGGCCUCAAGCCUCCGUAGCCGGUUCUACAAGUCUUCCGUUAAAUCCACCUGCUUAACAGAUGGGCUGCGGAAGAUACUAUAGAGCUAGGAGGCGGGAGAGGCAAGCGGUACUCGAUGGGUAGGGGUAAAAUCCGUUGAUCCAUUGAAGACCACCAGUGGCGAAGGCGGCUUGCCAGAACGCGCUCGACGGUGAGGGAUGAAAGCUGGGGGAGCAAACCGG
rnacentral:rRNA from 1 species